GAGGGUCGUGGAUGGCUCGGUCUCACGGAGAGGUCAUGGGUCAAAACUUGAAAAACUUGAAAAGCAGGAAAACCUCACUGAACCCAUUAUUUUCAUGUUGCUGAGGCAAAAUCUGGUCAAAGGGAAUAUGCAACUCUUUUCAGUGGAACAACAGAGAAGUCGAGCUCUGGAAGCUCAUGCUGCUGCUUUUGCACAAUUUAAAGUUCCAGGGAAUGAGAAUCCUUCUACUCUCAUUUCCUUUGCAACAAAGACUUUUAAUGCUCGCCAAAUUACAUCAAAGCUGCAUGUUAUAGAUCUUCGUGCCCAACCAGG